ACUCCUUCGGGAGGCAGCAGUCGAGAAUCUUCCACAAUGUACGAAAGUAUGAUGGAGCGACGCCGCGUGUGUGAUGAAGGCUCAACGAGUUGUAAAGCACUGUCAGGGGGGAAGAAUCAGCGCAUAACUAAUAAAUAUGCGCUCUGACGUAACCCCCAGAGGAAGCUCCGGCUAACUCCGUGCCAGCAGCCGCGGUAAUACGGAGGGAGCAAGCGUUGUCCGGAAUUAUUGGGCGUAAAGGGCACGCAGGCGGUUCGGUAAGUCGAAUGUGAAAUCUUACAGCUUAACUGUAAAACUGCGUUCGAAACUACCGAACUUGAGUACUGGAGAGGUAUGCGGAAUUCCUGGUGGAGCGGUGGAAUGCGUGGAUAUCCAGGAAGAACACCGGUGGCGAAGGCGGCAUACCCGGCCAAGUACUGACGCUCAGGUGCGACAGCGUGGGGAGCCAACGGGAUUAGAUACCCCGGUAGUCCACGCUGUAAACGAUUGGGUACUAGGUUUUUGGAGGGUCUCUAACCCUUUUCAGAGCCGCUAGGUUUACGCAUGUAAGUACCCCUGUCUGGGCUAUACGGUCGCAAGGCUGAAACUCAAAGAAUUGACGGGGCCCGUCACAAUCGUGGAGCAUUGUGUUAAUUCGAAGCAACGCCGAAGAACCUUACCAGGGUAUGACAUGUGAGCUUCGACCUUCGGGAAGAGGUUAA
rnacentral:rRNA from 1 species